rnacentral:rRNA from 1 species
GCAAGUCGAACGAACCUUCGGGUGAGUGGCGCACGGGUGCGUAACGCGUGGGAAUGUACACCUUGGUAAGGAAUAACUGCUGGAAACGGUAGCUAAUACCUUAUAAUAUCUUCGGAUCAAAGAUUUAUCGCCAAGGGAUCAGGCCGCGUCAGAUUAGAUAGUUGGUGAGGUAAAAGCUCACCAAGUCAACGAUCUGUAGCUGGUCUGAGAGGAUGAUC